AUACUUACCUAGCAGGGAGAUACCAUGAUCAUGGAGGUGGUUUUCCCUGGGUGAGGCUUAUCCAUUGCACUCCAGAUGUGCUGACACCUGCAAUUUCCCCAAAUGUGGGAAACUCAACUGUGUAAAGUAAC
ensembl:snRNA U1 U1 spliceosomal RNA